CCGAGCGCCUUGUAUCCUGAUUAGCUGGCAAGUCUUUUCUUUCUCCCAUGGCACAGAAGACCCCAGAAGGGUUUUAAGUCAGGAGGUGACGUGACUGGAGGUGCAACACCAGCUGGCCACGGGAUGGAGGAAGGGUCCCUGGCCUUACACAGCGCUCACCCCAGGCCCUGCUGGCCCAGCACACAGCAGGUGAGGCUUGGGAAAACUCUUCCAGCCUUCUCUGAUCGGCCCACUUCCGCCCCUCUGGAGCCUGGGAGCCCUGCCCUCUGGAAUAACCCAGCUCCACGUCUCCUAGAGCCGGACCUUGCCUAGUCAGAGCACUGCGGUGGCAACAACCCACUGAGGCACUGAAUUAAACAAAAAAGGGUUGAGGUUAUGAAAGGAGAGGUUCCAGCUAGAGUUCAAGAAAGUCUUCCAGACCUGCCUGCAGAGAAUUAAACCCAGACACUGUGAAGUGCCCGUCCCAUCCUUCAAGAACCAGCUCAGAUGCCUCCACUCUGGGAAGCCUUUCCUGCGCCCCCAAGGCUGUUGCUCACUGGAGAGCCCUGAGAGCAGGCAUUAUACUGCAUCCCAUUUGUAUAUUUUGUAUCCCUUUCUAUCUCAUAAAUGGGGCAGGAAUUCAAUCAA